AUUGAACGCUAGCGGCAUGCCUUACACAUGCAAGUCGCACGGAGCGGCGGACGGGUGAGUAAUAUAUCGGAACGUGCCCAGUAGCGGGGGAUAACUACUCGAAAGAGUGGCUAAUACCGCAUACCAUCGGAGCGGCCGAUAUCGGAUUAGCUAGUAGGUGGGGUAAAGGCUCACCAAGGCAACGAUCCGUAGCUGGUCUGAGAGGACGACCAGCCAACCUGGGACUGAGACACGGCCCAGAAUCCUACGGGAGGCAGCAGUGGGGAAUUUUGGACAAUGGGAGAAACCCUGAUCCAGCCAUCCCUCGUGUAUGAAGAAGGCCUUCGGGUUGUAAAGUACUUUUGGCAGAGAAGCGUUAUCUGCAGAAUAAGCACCGGCUAACUACGUGCCAGCAGCCGCGGUAAUUC
rnacentral:rRNA from 1 species